GAUAACUAUUACCAAAAAUAUCUACUCUGUAGUUAAUCGAAACGAAUAUGACGUCUUCUUCGAGGAAAUAAUCAGGAGCUUGCAAUUUGUAUCCAGCGUCACCACACAUGAAAAAUCCACCAUGGAUGUAUACUAUUACAGAAAGGUUUCCGUUACGGAGGGGACACGCAGCUCUUCAGGGAGGCAAUCAUCGCAGCUCCUACCGGGGGCGCGUAGAACUGCUUAAUACAUUUGCAAUUUGUACUGACCUUUUUUUUGCUUGUCUAGACGGUUAACGCUGGGCGGCAAGAUAAAUAGAAAAAGAAAUGUAACACUUGCUUUUUGGCCUUGGUAGUGUGCGUCUGAUUAUUAUUGCGCUACUAUGUUAUAAUAUAUUUAUAUAUUAUGUAUUUUGGUUGAUGUCAAUUAGCAAGAGUGUAUAAAUGUUUUAGUUUCAAUGUACAAUUUAGUUAAACAGUAAAUACAGUCCACUACUUAGUGGUUUAUAGUUUAAUGAUGUAGUAAAGGUGAAUAAGAAGAAAGUUUAGUGUUUUAUUUGCCGUUACAAAUGAACUAAAAAAUAACGUAAUCAGGAAUCUCCUGUACAGUGAUAUUUCUUUAAACUUCAUCAAUUGGAGUGGAACAUUGGGAACUACUUUCAAUAACGGUUUCUUUUAACCAAAAUUGAUAUGCAGCAAGCCUGUAAACACUAACUUCUGUCAUAUUGGAACAUGUCGAAACUAUAUUUCUAACAGUAGCAGCCGGUAUUUGAUGUACAACGGCGGAACGUAAGCGACUCUAAGCAAAACAAAUUUGGGCGAGACCAAGUUUCACCGUAUAUACCUGCAAAACUUCUAGGUAGUCAUUAGAAUAAUUCCUAGUAGGACCCUAUUGUAAUGUUUUUUGGAAAUGUUAUUAUCGACAUUUCGAAAAUCAGAAAGUAAUUAUCUGGAGAAUGAAUUGAUAAAUGGUUUGUUAAUAUGUCUACCAAGAAUUGAGCAGCGCCAAAUUCUCAAGGUAAUUAAUGAAAUAUCAGAAUAGUUGAGUUACAAGAUUAUUUCAAAAAUAAUUUAUUGUUUUAACUGCACGUACUCUACAAAUGUAUGAAGGGCAGUUACUUGUUUUAACUAACCGAAUUUAGAUUUAUAUUACUUUUAUAUAUCAGAUCGGGUAUAAAAUUAAAUAGUAAAUAAAUUCUUUAGAUGAACGGUGCUGUCAGACAAUAAGAAACAGACUUUAAUUAGUUUUCUAUAUUUCUGAUACACAAAAAGCAAUUGACUUUUAAAUCGGUUUUAUGCAGGCAAAAAAUUCUCAUUCAACCCCUCAUUUCUGAGAAAUUAUGAAAUUAGAACUUAUAUUUGAGUAUAUUUCCUAAAUUAUACAUUCGAACAGGGGUGCGGCAUAUACCCAUUGGUUAACAAUCCAUAACAUUUACAGGGACAACCUGUACAUUAUCCUGACAAUCUUUAAAUCGAUUUUUUAACAGAAAGAUACUCUUUGUUUAACUCGAUAAAAUUUAUGGUUUAGGAGAUAUGUAGAUUUGCCAUAAAGAGACAUUCUGAAGAAAACUAUCAUAAAUUAUAAAUUUACAGUUACAGGACAUACGUUAUCAUCCAUUAAAGAUUCAUCAUCUUCGAAUGUAUAAUUUAGAAAAUAUACUUAAAUAUAAGUUCUGAUUUCGUAAUUUUAAAUGCCUACACUCCCGAAUUUUUUGCUUCAAAUUUUCUGUAUCUGACGAAUUGCGGUAUCAUUUGAUGAUGCAAUAUUUGCUCAAUUUUUAAAAAAAUUAGUAAAAUAAUAUGAAUGUACUUACCAAAAACGACAAAUAUAAUCAAAUAUGUGUAAUUAUGGCUUGUGUGACUUUCUAUAUGCAUUGUAGCCGCAAAAAGACUUAUGAAUAUCAAUAAAGCAUAGAGGAAUGCAUAUUUUUGGUCCUUCUACAAACAAAUGUCUUGAUUUACUUAUUACAGAUUUAAAAAUGUACCAAGUAGCUAGUCAAGAAGAAACUUUACUUGUUAAUAUAUUAUUGCCACAUCAAUCUUAGAUAUAGAUAAGACUGAUGUGAUCUAUACUAUCACAAAUAUAUUACACCAGUUAAUCAUAUAUUAAAUUAAAUCUCUACUAUGUAUGUAUGGAUUUGGAAUCCGACCAAAGGAUCUAUUUUAUCCCCCUUCCUUGCUACGAUACUGGAAAACCCUCUGAUUACAGCUGAUCCAUCAAUCCCACUCCUUUUAAAAAGUCAAGAAUGUGGGAUGGCUUUAAUUACUAGAGAUCUUCGUCUUCUAUUUCAUACGCACCCAGGUAUAGUGCUCUGGGGUUCCUUAGUGCUUCACACUUCGAGAAAAUGUGGAUAGAGAUUUCGUCCUCUGUGCAACAAAAUCUUCAGGCCGCGUAUAUCUGUUAGGUCUAGCGUCUUCGGGUGUUUGUUGAGGCGACAGUGCCCAAAUAGAACUCCUGUUAGUAUUUGUAGAUUACUCUUACUUAGGUUGACACAUUCAGCAGAUCUACUCUGGUUAUAGUUUUCCAGAAGAGUCUUUGCCUGUCUCAGUCCCUGUAGGUUGUCCCAAUAAUUCCAAUAUUUUCCAAUGCUUUUUCCAUUGUUCUGUAGCUGAUACCACAGUAGGGUUCGAAUCCCAUGAAGGGUUUGUAUGCCUUCGUUAGAAUCUAGACUAGAAUAUUCCUUAACCAUAUAAAACGAGUGCGACGGUACGACGUGAAUCAGUUGAGUCGAGUAAUCGAAGCGAUACGGUUGGAGAAGGAUUAUAAUUGUACAGGGAAGUAGUGAUUGUGAAGAUUGUGCAUUUGUUUGUGUCAUGCGCGUGCGAUAUCCAUAAUUGUUGUAUCGAGUUCUAUAAUUGUUAUAAUUUUGGCAUAAUGCCACUAAAAAGUUGAUAGAAGGUGCAGAGUUUUUCAGUCUAAUUGGGAAAUUGCAUAUUUUUUCAUAGAAUGGAAAGGUAAAAUACUGAAUACUGAAUUCGACUGAAAAAAAGAAUCGACACAUAGUCAACGAAUAUACACAAUUUUAUAAAUAAAACUAAUAAAGAAUUUGCGUAUCGACUUAAAAA